AAUAGAUACCCCGGUAGUCCACGCCGUAAACGAUGGGCACUAGGUGUAGGGGGUGUCGACUCCCCCUGUGCCGAAGCUAACGCAUUAAGUGCCCCGCCUGGGGAGUACGGCCGCAAGGCUAAAACUCAAAGGAAUUGACGGGGGCCCGGCACAAGCAGCGGAGCAUGCGGUUUAAUUGGACGCAACGCCAAGAACCUUACCCGGGCUUGACAUGUUCCUGACCGGCCUGGAAACAGGUCUUCCCUUCGGGGCAGGAUCACAGGUGGUGCAUGGCUGUCGUCAGCUCGUGUCGUGAGAUGUUGGGUUAAGUCCCGCAACGAGCGCAACCCCGUCGCAUGUUGCCAGCAUUAAGUUGGGGACUCAUGCGAGACUGCCGGUGACAAACCGGAGGAAGGUGGGGAUGACGUCAAGUCAUCAUGCCCCUUAUGUCCGGGGCUACACACGUGCUACAUUGGCGCGUACAGGAGGGCUGCGAUACCGCGAGGUGGAGCGAAUCCCUUAAAGCGCGUCUCGGUUCGGAUUGCAGGCUGAAACUCG
rnacentral:rRNA from 1 species